rnacentral:rRNA from 1 species
GUGAGGAAUAUUGGUCAAUGGGCGGGAGCCUGAACCAGCCAAGUCGCGUGAAGGAAGAAGGAUCUAUGGUUCGUAAACUUCUUUUGCAGGGGAAUAAAGUGCAGGACGUGUCCUGUUUUGUAUGUACCCUGAGAAUAAGGAUCGGCUAACUCCGUGCCAGCAGCCGCGGUAAUACGGAGGAUCCGAGCGUUAUCCGGAUUUAUUGGGUUUAAAGGGUGCGUAGGUGGUUUGAUAAGUCAGCGGUGAAAGUUUGUAGCUUAACUGUAAAAAUGCCGUUGAAACUGUCGGACUUGAGUGUAAAUGAGGUAGGCGGAAUGCGUGGUGUAGCGGUGAAAUGCAUAGAUAUCACGCAGAACUCCGAUUGCGAAGGCAGCUUACUAAGCUACAACUGACACUGAAGCACGAAAGCGUGGGGAUCAAACAGGAUUAGAAACCCGAGUAGUCC